AUUGAACGCUGGCGACAUGCCUUACACAUGCAAGUCGAACGGCAGCACGGGUGCUUGCACCUGGUGGCGAGUGGCGAACGGGUGAGUAAUACAUCGGAACAUGUCCUGUAGUGGGGGAUAGCCCGGCGAAAGCCGGAUUAAUACCGCAUACGAUCUACGGAUGAAAGCGGGGGACCUUCGGGCCUCGCGCUAUAGGGUUGGCCGAUGGCUGAUUAGCUAGUUGGUGGGGUAAAGGCCUACCAAGGCGACGAUCAGUAGCUGGUCUGAGAGGACGACCAGUCACACUGGGACUGAGACACGGCCCAGACUCCUGCGGGAGGCAGCAGUGGGGAAUUUUGGACAAUGGGCGAAAGCCUGAUCCAGCAAUGCCGCGUGUGUGAAGAAGGCCUUCGGGUUGUAAAGCACUUUUGUCCGGAAAGAAAUCCUUGGCCCUAAUACGGUCGGGGGAUGACGGUACCGGAAGAAUAAGCACCGGCUAACUACGUG
rnacentral:rRNA from 1 species